rnacentral:rRNA from 1 species
AGAGUUUGAUCAUGGCUCAGAAUCAACGCUGGCGGCGUGCCUAACACAUGCAAGUCGAACGAGAAAGUGGAGCAAUCCAUGAGUAAAGUGGCGACCGGGUGAGUAACACGUGACUAACCUACCUCCGAGUGGGGAAUAACUCCGGGAAACCGGGGCUAAUACCGCAUAACAUCGCAAGAUCAAAGCAGCAAUGCGCUUGGAGAGGGGGUCGCGGCUGAUUAGCUAGUUGGCGGGGUAACGGCCCACCAAGGCGAAGAUCGGUAUCCGGCCUGAGAGGGCGCACGGACACACUGGAACUGAAACACGGUCCAGACUCCUACGGGAGGCAGCAGUGGGGAAUUUUGCGCAAUGGGGGAAACCCUGACGCAGCAACGCCGCGUGGAGGAUGAAGUCCCUUGGGACGUAAACUCCUUUCGACCAAGACGAUAAUGACGGUACUGGUGGAAGAAGCACCGGCUAACUCUGUGCCAGCAGCCGCGGUAAUACAGAGGGUGCGAGCGUUGUUCGGAAUUAUUGGGCGUAAAGGGCGCGUAGGCGGUGCCACAAGUCACUUGUGAAAUCCCCGGGCUUAACUCGGGGCCUGCAGGCGAAACUGUGGUGCUGGAGUAUGGGAGAGGUGCGUGGAAUUCCCGGUGUGGCGGUGAAAUGCGUAGAUAUCGGGAGGAACACCUGUGGCGAAAGCGGCGCACUGGACCAUAACUGACGCUGAGGCGCGAAAGCUAGGGGAGCAAACAGGAUUAGAUACCCCAGUAGUCC